GCGACAGAAGAGAGUGAGCACACAUGGCUCUUUUUCUAGCAUGCUCAUGCUCGAAAGCUCUGCGUGCUUACUCUCUUCUUGUCUC
rnacentral:pre_miRNA from 14 species